GAAAUAGUACUGAUUCAGGUCUUUACAAAAAACCUACUAUCUACUGCUUACAAGUUAAAUGGGUUAGCACACACUUUUAGAGAUCUUCAAAUCAAAAAGUUUGGGUCUCAAUUCGAUCGACUGCUCUGGAUCUUCAAAUCAGUGCUCCAUUGCUCCAGCGCAUGUCAAAAUUAACAAAAACUUUGGGUCUCCGAUCGACUACUGCUCCGACUACGAGUGCUCCGACCACUUCGAUUGAACCCUAGCCAUCUAUUGAAACAGAAUACAGAUAUACUCGAGACGUUAACUCCACAAGUUAGGAAGCGUGUAGAUAUUCUAAGAGAGCUUCAGGUAAGUUUCCUGAUGUGACGUCUUUGAUACCUGCUAGCCCGAACGCAUCUUCUGGUUUGUCUUUUGGAAGGCAAAGGGCAAAGGAUCCUGGAAUGGUGUUUGUUUCUGGUGCCACUGGACAAGCUGGUAUCCGCAUUGCUCGGAUACUGUUGCGUGAAGGUUAUAGUGUAAAAGGUGGAGUUUCUGACCUUGGUGCAGCGCAAGAACUAGCUCAUCUAGCCAUUAGCUACAAGCAGAUAGAGCAUAAUUGGGACGGGAUAACUCUAAAGGACUUCAUCCUAAAGAGAUCAGUACCAUUAUCGGUGUAUUCUUGGAUAAAGGGAACAAUGAAAGCGAGAGCAUACCAUUUGAGUUGUACAAAAGGCGCACGAUGGUGAUUGUCAGAAUAGGAACUUUGCUUUAACCAAAUACAAGUAUAUGGGCCCCAACCAGAGGGCCGACUUAAUUUUAGUUUGCAGGAUUCGAGAAAGAAAAGAAUCUGUAACUGUGCUAUUGUGUGGUACUAGCGGCUGUGGCAAAUCUACCAUGUCUUCUUUACUGGUAUAAGUUCUCUCAUAGCUUUUGGCUGUUGUACCUACCAUUAACAGGUAUUAGCUGAUGCGCCUUGCAAUAUUUUCUAACCUUAGCUACAUGUGUUGUACUUGAUCUCAUGUUUGUAAUAUACCAUUGUUGUUAUCCUGUUGGUUGGGGGAAAGAGAUGUACCCACACGGUUAUGCACAAAGAUACUGAUGCAUAGAAUGCUAAUAUUGACACCACCAACAUUUUGGAUAUGCAGGAACUUAUUGGCUAGUCAUUUUAUGGACCUGUUACUACUCUUCUCUUGUAUCAUUGUAAGUCUCCUGAACGUUUUUUUCAUCUGCAGUGCUGGCAGAUCACAUCUAAAGAGGAAAUUAGAUCUUGAAUUCCAACCCGAAGAGGAAUAAGAUAUUUUUCUGAUUUUUUUUCCCAUCUGCAUGAGGGCUGCUAUAUUGUUUACAAGGUCUUUGGUAGAUAAUAUCACGUGUAUGUUUUCAUCCCUAUGGAAUUUGUUCACUCAUAUAUCCAGAUUAAUCUCAAGUUCUGAACUUUGUAUAAGAUUACGAACUACGUUGAGAUGUAAUCCAUAAUGACAAUCCAUUCAUACUUUGUACUCCCUCCAUUUCAAUUUGUUUGUCUUGUUUUGACUUGGCAUGGAAAUCCUUCUAAUGAAAUCUAUCAAUGGCAAGUUCUACUAAUGAAAGUGCUCAGAAAUUUACUAUAUUAUAAAAUUGUUUCUUGCUCAGAAAUUUACUAUAUUUAUUCAUUUGCUAUUAAGAUUGUUUAUGCUCUAUUUAUAGGUGUUCUUUUAUGUUUCAAUUGAAAAUUAAAUAUGUUGUCAUUUAAGUGUUAAUUAAGAUUAUUUUUUCUCUUUUUAUAGAUGUUCAAAAUGGAGGCGAUGAAGAAAGUGAUGAAGAAAUUGACCUUACUCGAGAGAAUUUGCGAAGUAUUGAAUUCUGUGAAACUUAUCGCCACUCGAACUUGAUACUUUAUGGGAAAACUAAUGACUGUUUGACUUUAACAUUUUUCUUUUGGAUUUAAGUUGAUAGUUUGUUGGAUAUUUUAAUUUGAAUUAUUAUUAAUGAAAGAUUUUGUCGUGAUGUGCA